AUUGAACGCUGGCGGCAGGCCUAACACAUGAAAGUCGAACGAGUGGCGGACGGGUGAGUACUGUCUGGGAAACUGCCCGAUGGAGGGGGAUAACUACUGGAAACGGUAGCUAAUACCGCAUACCAUCGGAUGUGCCCCGAUGGGAUUAGCUAGUCGGUGGGGUAACGGCUCACCUAGGCGACGAUCCCUAGCUGGUCUGAGAGGCGGACCCGCCACACUGGAACGGAGACACGGUCCAGACUCCUACGGGAGGCAGCAGUGGGGAAUAUUGCACAAUUGGCGCAAGCCUGAUGCAGCCAUGCCGCGUGUAUGAAUAAGGCCUUCGGGUUUUAAAGUACUUUCAGCGAGGAGGCGUUACUCGAAGAAGAAGCACCGGCUAACUCCGUGCCAGCAGCCGCGGUAAUUC
rnacentral:rRNA from 1 species